UACGUAGGGGGCAAGCGUUGUCCGGAAUCAUUGGGCGUAAAGCGCGUGUAGGCGGCCCGGUAAGUCCGCUGUGAAAGUCGGGGGCUCAACCCUCGAAUGCCGGUGGAUACUGUCGGGCUAGAGUGCGGGAGAGGCGAGUGGAAUUCCUGGUGUAGCGGUGAAAUGCGCAGAUAUCAGGAGGAACACCGGUGGCGAAGGCGGAUCUCUGGGCCUUACCUGACGCUGAGGCGCGAAAGCUAGGGGAGCGAACAGG
rnacentral:rRNA from 1 species